UUAAAAAAAAUUGAUACAAAUCUAUAUAUUUACAUCAAUAAACAAUCGUUGUAUUUACUAUUUUUUAUUAGUGUCACUAAUAAAAUGAUACAAAAUAAAAAAUCAAUUAAAUAAAAGAUACAAAAUUAGUAUCAAUAAUAAAAUGAUGCUAAUACAAAAUUAGUAUCAAUAAUAAACAAUCAUCACAUGAUUAUAAAACUCUUCUCUAUGAACUCUUUCCAGUGAUGAAUGAUGAUCAAAUAAUGUGAAGAUGUCAAAAAGUAGCAGUCACCAUUCUACAAGAGCUUGUAGUAGCAGUCACGUCCUGAGAAGAGAGUUCGGUAGUUUCUUCCACAUCUCAACCACAAACGCCUCACCCACUCUAUCCACCUUCACACCUUCUUGUACUACCUCAUCGUGUGCCUGCAGCACCGCAACAAAACAACCAUUGAACUUCUUGAAUUGAUUGUGACUUAAACUUACACAUAAAGACAAUACAAAGUUGAAAAUACUAUAAGACAAUACAAAGUUAGAUAUAAAUACAUAUUUGAAGAAUCUAGUGCAGUUGGUAUACCAAAUCCCCAAUUCAUAACGAGACACCCUAAUUUGUGCUAUAACCGGGUAGUGAUGCAAAUUGAGUUCAAACACUAAAUUAAAGAUCCCCAAAUUUUCCGAAAUCCUAAUUCCCGAAUCGACAUGAGCCCUAAUCGAUUUCAUCAAAUUUAUUCAAUACAAACGAUUAAUUUAUCAAUUCAUGACACUAUUAAACCAAUCUUAUAAAAAAAUUUACCAGUUUUGUUGAUUCGAUUCACUCACCCAAACACUUCGUUUGUACCAAUCCGAUGAACCGUUGAACCACGCGUCGAAGGUCUCGUCGAUUCGCCAAAAAGAACACCAUUCUCCGGCGUCAAAGCAUCGCUUACAACGGAUCGAACACAGUUUCGAUUUUUUGUGUUUAUCGACGAGAGAGAGAGAGAGAGAGAGAAAGAGAGAGAGAGAGAAAAAAAAAGAAGAGAGAAGAGUCACGAAACAAAAGAAAAUUUUUUGGCUUUUCAGUUUUUUUAUUUAUUUAUAUAUUUUACACAACCGCCACUCACAUUCUGCCACGUCAUCGCCUCUUCAACCACCAAAAGACUCUCAAUAGAGAGGCGGUUCUCUCUAAUUAUGACAUUAAUUCAUUUAAUUUUUUGGCCAAAACAUAGAGAACCUCCUAUUAAAUCCC
rnacentral:lncRNA from 1 species